rnacentral:tRNA from 1 species
UCGGUUGUAGCCCAGCUGGUCAGCGCGCUCAGUAGCAAAUGUGAGGUCCUGGGAUCAAUCCCUAGCGCCUAAA